CACUUCGGAUGAAGAUGGGAGCAAUCAUAAGCCCGAUAAGGUUAGUGUGUUUCAUCAAAACUAACAAUCAUGUAAAUACAGUACAAAUGGCCAGAAAUCAAAUUUGCAUAUCACGUUGAAAUAUGGCUUCUGCAGUAAACAGUAAAUUAAUAAAUUAUUGAUUACGCGAUGCUGUAAAUCCCAAAAUCAGAGAAUAUGGUAGGUCGUUUGCAACUUGCCUCAGUCGCUGGCUAUAAAUCAAAGUCUGUACGUCGAAGUAUUUAACGUAAUGUUGCCACUUGGUUUUAGUUAGUGACCAUUCUGCAUUUUCAGUUUUUAUACAGAGGUUAGUUUGUACGGAAUUUGUCUAUUUAUAUAUAAGGGUAUCGCACUUCUAUAGCCACUAGAAACAAACGAAAAUGCAGAAUAGGCAGUAACUUACACCAGGCAAACACUACACGAUGUAUUUCAACGACAACAGACCGUGUUCUGCAACCAGCAAUCGAGGCAAAACUGCAAACGACUACCAAUAUUCUCUGAUUUUGCGAUUUAAAGCAUCGCGUAAUAUAAUUUACUGUUUACUAUCGAAGCGAUAUUUCAACGGGUUAUGUAUUAAUCGGAUGUGCAAAGUUAGUAAGGAAGUAGAAUAAUCAUGUCCGUGAUUUCUGGCCAUGAAAUUUCACUGACUUUCAUUCGGUUAUGAAUCAAUGAUUAAUGCAUUAUUUUCAAAACACACAAAGCUUUUGUUUAUAUAGUUUGGAAAACACAAAAGAAAACAAUACAUUAUAAUUAUAUUAAUAAUUAACAGACUGAAAAGUGAAAUUUUGUACUGUAUUUACAUGAUUUUUAGUUUUGAUGAAACACACCAACCUUAUGAUUGCUCCCAUCUUCAUCCGAAGUGAAACCCUCAGUUUAAA